rnacentral:rRNA from 1 species
UGGCGACGGGUGAGUAACGCGUGGGCAACCUGCCUUACACAGGGGGAUAACACUUAGAAAUAGGUGCUAAAACCGCAUAAGCGCACAGCUUCGCAUGAAGCGGUGUGAAAAACUCCGGUGGUGUAAGAUGGACCCGCGUCUGAUUAGCUUGUUGGCGGGGUAACGGCCCACCAAGGCGACGAUCAGUAGCCGGCCUGAGAGGGCGGACGGCCACAUUGGGACUGAGACACGGCCCAGACUCCUACGGGAGGCAGCAG